UAAUACGUAGGGGGCAAGCGUUGUCCGGAAUCAUUGGGCGUAAAGAGCGUGUAGGCGGCUUGGCAAGUCUGGUGUGAAAUCUUGCGGCUCAACCGCAAGCGGUCACUGGAAACUGCCUCGCUAGAGUCCGGAAGAGGAGAGCGGAAUUCCUGGUGUAGCGGUGGAAUGCGCAGAUAUCAGGAAGAACACCCGUGGCGAAGGCGGCUCUCUGGGACGGUACUGACGCUGAGACGCGAAAGCGUGGGGAGCGAACAGGAUUAGAUACCCUGGUAGUCCACGCCGUAAACGAUGGGCGCUAGGUGUGGGAGGUGUCGACUCCUCCCGUGCCGAAGCUAACGCAUUAAGCGCCCCGCCUGGGGAGUACGGCCGCAAGGCUA
rnacentral:rRNA from 1 species